GUCCUUAUUGAUUGAUUGAUUGAUCUAUUUAUUUAUUUAUUUAUUUAUUUAUUUAUGUAUGUAUGUAUUUAUUUAUUUAUUUAUUUAUUUAUUUAUUUAAUGUUUUAUUGUCUGUUUGGUUGUCUAGAGGUUUAUUCUGUUUCUAAUCACUGUAUUGGACGUUAAUUGUCAGUUUCACUUUUAAAUUGCAUCACACCAUUUCCAUUCAGCACUGGACAGUUCAUAUAUAUUUAAGAUAUAUUUUUGUGACAUUUUUUGUGACAAGUUUUUGUUAUUUCUAAAUAAAAAUUACAUUUUGAAUACUGACCUCUCAUCUUUUCUUUUCUAAAAUCUUGUUUUAUGAGAUCUUUGCUAUAUUUGACUUUUGGUGAAAUUAGCUUAAUUGAGUUGAGAUCAACACUGUAAAAAAUUGCUGUAGUUUCCACAGCAAAAUUUUACAGAAUAUUACUGUUUAAACAUUUUACAAGAUGCAGCUGUAAUUCGCAAUGCAUUAUGGGUCAAAUAAGGUUUUACAGUUGUUAACAGUAUAUUUCCAUGUCAACUGUAAUUCAUUUACAAGAAGCAGGUGUUGUCACUGUAGCUCCUGGCUUUUACACUAACUUACUGUAGUGUGGCAUUAUGGGAUUGCGCGCGCAUCAUUCAAAUCUGAAAUGCAGCAGACUGAAGCAGCACGAGAACGAUUGAAGAUUAGAGACUUUAUUCAUAAUUCCUGGUGCAAAGAAUAGCAGCUGAUGUGGAGAAAUGUUUGAUGCUUCAAGACUCUGAAGCUGAUUUUAUUAGGUCCACCCAGUGACUUUUAAUUAUUUGAUGGUCAGAUGGUUGUAAAUUCAUACCUCAUCUUUGUGGCUGGAUUUGCAGUCUUAGUACAACUUCAGUCUGGCGUCCCGGGAGCAGGCGUCUUUUGCACACUUGAAUUUUUUCAAAGGUGUUUUCUUGGAAUCACAACACUCACUGCAUACAAGACGGAUACAUAAAGGCAAAACAAGUGGAAAGGUCUCAGAGAAGAGGAACAACCCUCAUGUGUGUGCUCAUCUCAGAGAGUUGAUGGACUUUCAGUAUGUAUUUAUUAAAUUGUCUUUUGCAGGAAUAUUCUUAAUGUAAAAGAACAUAAGCUCAAACAACAGAAUUUGUGAUUUAAUGUUGAUUCCAGCAUUUUAUUUUAAUCCUUUUCUUUAAAACAUUUUUUUUUCCAAAAUUAUACAAAUUCUGUUGAUUGACGUUCAUUUUUAUAGAAAGUUAAUGUUCUACUCUGAAUAUGGCUUAUUUUUUAACAGGUAUUUGUAGUUAUUUUGUGAUGCUAUGUUAUUUUUAUGAUAAAAUUUUAACUGUUGAAAGGCUGAAAUUUUUAUUUUACCAGUAAAAGCCUUGCAAUGUCUUUCUGCCAGUUUACUGCAACAUCAUUGACUUGGUUUUUAUUAAUUUGUAAAUGUAUUAAGAUAGAGCUCAUGAUAAUGCAUUUAUAUCAGUAUUUUAUAGUUUAUUGUUAAAAUUUUUCUUUACAGCAGUUUCAUUGUUAAAUUAUUACAACAUCAUAUUGGAUUUAGGGGUAUUUACAGGAUUUUAUUGGCAACUUUAGUUGCCAGGUAAAUACUGUAAUUGAAUGAGAUUACAAAAAAAUGCUGUAAAAUAUAUUUACAGGAUUUUAUUGGCAACUUUUGUUGCAAGGUAAAUACUGUAUUUUAGUGAAAUUACAAGAUAUUGCUGUAAAGUAAACUACACGUUUAAUUCAAUGUUACUGUAAAAAAUACUACAAAUUACUGUAUUUCACAUACAGCAAUUAACUGUAAUUUGCUUUGCAGUAAUGUACUGUAAUCCAUUUU
ensembl:lncRNA